rnacentral:piRNA from 1 species
UAGGAGAUGCGGCAAAGGACCAGGCUA